rnacentral:rRNA from 1 species
GACGAACGCUGGCGGCGUGCCUAAUACAUGCAAGUCGAGCGAUGAAGCUUGGUGCUUGCACCAAUUUGAAGAGCAGCGAACGGGUGAGUAACGCGUGGGGAAUCUGCCUUUGAGCGGGGGACAACAUUUGGAAACGAAUGCUAAUACCGCAUAACAACUUUAAACAUAAGUUUUAAGUUUGAAAGAUGCAAUUGCAUCACUCAAAGAUGAUCCCGCGUUGUAUUAGCUAGUUGGUGAGGUAAAGGCUCACCAAGGCGAUGAUACAUAGCCGACCUGAGAGGGUGGUCGGCCACAUUGGGACUGAGACACGGCCCAAACUCCUACGGGAGGCAGCAGUAGGGAAUCUUCGGCAAUGGACGAAAGUCUGACCGAGCAACGCCGCGGGAGUGAAGAAGGUUUUCGGGUCGUAAAACUCUGUUGGUAGAGAAGAACGUUGGUGAGAGUGGAAAGCUCAUCAAGUGACGGUAACUACCCAGAAAGGGACGGCUAACUACGUG